rnacentral:rRNA from 1 species
CCUACGGGUGGCAGCAGUGGGGACUAUUGGGCAAUGGGCGCAAGCCUGACCCAGCAACGCCGCGUGAAGGAAGAAGGCUUUCGGGUUGUAAACUUCUUUUAAGAGGGAAGAGCAGCAGACGGUACCUCUUGAAUAAGCCACGGCUAACUACGUGCCAGCAGCCGCGGUAAUACGUAGGGAGCAAGCGUUAUCCGGAUUUAUUGGGUGUAAAGGGUGCGUAGACGGAGAAGCAAGUUAGUUGUGAAAUCCCUCGGCUUAACUGAGGAACUGCAACUAAAACUACUUCCCUUGAGUACUGGAGAGGAAAGUGGAAUUCCUAGUGUAGCGGUGAAAUGCGUAGAUAUCAGGAGGAACACCGGUGGCGAAGGCGGCCUGCUGGACUGCGACUGACGUUGAGGCCCGAAAGCGUGGGGAGCAAACAGGAUUAGAUACCCCAGUAGUC